rnacentral:misc_RNA from 1 species
UCCGGCUUGACGCCGGCAGUCCCCCGACAGCCAUGCACCACCUGUAUACCGACCUUGCGGGGGCUGCAUCUCUGCAGCUUUCCGGUAUAUGUCAAACCCAGGUAAGGUUCUUCGCGUUGCAUCGAAUUAAUCCACAUGCUCCGCCGCUUGUGCGGGCCCCCGUCAAUUCCUUUGAGUUUUAGCCUUGCGGCCGUACUCCCCAGGCGGGGCGCUUAAUGCGUUAGCGCCGGCACCCAGAGGGUCGCUCCCCCAGGCACCUAGUACCCAUCGUUUACGGCGUGGACUAC